CAUCGAUGUCUCAGUUGCACAUGGUUCGCGUAGAGCACUCUGAGCUGCUUCCGGUCUGCCAAGGUGGAGAGCUCCUUUGGCUUGUCCCAUUAGCUUGCUGCGUGUCGGUCUGCAGUGCCGCCUGACCCCUCGAGCUCCCCUGUCCUCUCCUGCUGUGGGGUACAGGGUUGCCCGUGGAGAGCCCCUCGUGGCUAGCAUGAGGCUUUUCCUGCCAGUCCCAGCGGAGGCCUCAACAAGCCAAGACCAACUCAUCUUGGUAGUCAGCAGCUCAGACAGUAGAAGUGGAUCCAGUUUGGGGAAGACUAGGGAAAUGACUGGAUUUUAACAGAAGUAGAAAGUCACCGAUUCUCUCUUAGUGACUUGGGGCUCCCAUUCUCAUCCCAGCUCUCCCUAGAAAGCUGCUAGAAGUUUGUGAACUGUGGGAAGUUCUGCCGCCCGCCCCCAGCUUGUCCCAGCAGCUCUGAGGCAGAUGUGUUGCAGCUGGAUGUUGUUCCUGGCUAGUUGUUUACAUUUGUGAGAAGUAACACUGUGAAUGUGAAAUUUGGAGCCAUUCCCAUUGGAAUUUGUGUCACUGGACUCAGUGUAGAGACUAAUUGGCCUCUUGUUCACCGCAUCAUCUAAAACAGUGGGUGCUUAGCACAGGGGCUGGAGCCCAGCUCUGGCCAUAGGCGCCAACCCAAAGACUUGUGUGUCCCAGUAGAGAUCUGGCCGUGUGUGUGGAUGUGUGCACACCCACCCCUGCAUUUACACAUACACGCCUCAUGUCAGACACACAUGCCCUCCAAGAACACCUGUGUCCUGGACUGGAGCAGCUGCGAGUGGAACUCGGUAGGAAGGGUCUGUGCUUGGAGAAGUCCGUGAAGAAAGUGACCCAGCUCACCAGCUGUGCACACGGGAUCAAGGUUUAUCAAAUUCCUCCAAAGCUAUGGGUCCCAAAUUGUAUCAGAAACGUCAUUUUGAUCGUCAGGUAUUUUGGGGGGAGGCAGGGUAGUGUUUUUGUUUUCCUGCUGGUACUAUCAGGAAAGAUUUUAAUGAAACCAGGGUAGAAUUGUUUGGCAAUGCACUUAAGCAUGUUUCCUCUCCAAAUCGUUCGUCCCUUCCGCUGCUGGCCCCGCUGACACAUGGAGGUGACUUCCAGCUGCAAGUACCCUUUCUCAUACUCUUGCUUUUCACCUGCAUGUGGACCCACCAGGAGGAAGAGUGGAGUGGAAGCGCCCCCAGACACCCAGAAUGUACCCACCAGGGAGCUCCUCCCAUGGAGCCGGGGCCGCAGUGUCCUGGCCUGGAGCUCCUCAUGUGGGCGGCUCACACAUCAAUAACUGCCUGGCUCUUGGCUACCUGGCGUUGCGGGGCUGGCGUGGACUUGGCUCUGUGCUUGUGAAGUACAGUUCCUCUUCCUCCCUGUGAGCGUCCUUCCCUGUCAGCCUCCUCACAUAGGCCUGUGCCUCCCUCUCUGCGCAGGGUGCUGGGUGCAGGGACCAGAGCGGCUGGCUGGGUGAACUUAGUGUCCCCUGGAAGGGAUGUGUGGGAGCAGUAAGGCCUGGAGAGCUGUUGGGGCUGGUUGGAGGGCUCAAGGUGGCCAGGAGAAAAGAAGACUGCCCUUGUCCAGCCCAGAGUGUGUGUGGGGAAGCAGGGACUUGGAGAACCUUGUGACCCCGGGAGGUACCUGAAGGCUCAGGGCCAUCUUCCCUGUGUGCCUGUCAUGUUUCAGUGCCGUCACAGAAACCUCGCCCGCCCCCAAGUGUUUCAGGGAGCAGAUCUUCCACUGCACGCGGUGGGUGGGCUGUGGGCAGCAGGAACCGGGCUGUGAGCAAGCAGGCUGCGGGCAGCGGCUGUGAUGGGAGCAUCCCGGAGCGCCACCCAGCCCUGACUGUCCACUUCCGAGAGGAAGGACUGGCAUCAGAUGUAUAUUCAAAUUUUUUUAACUGCUGCAAAUGUUGUACAUUCAAAUUAAA
ensembl:lncRNA